UCCUACGGGAGGCAGCAGUGGGGAAUAUUGCGCAAUGGGGGAAACCCUGACGCAGCAACGCCGCGUGGGUGAAGAAGGCCUUCGGGUUGUAAAGCUCUGUCUUCUGGGACGAUAAUGACGGUACCAGAGGAGGAAGCCACGGCUAACUACGUGCCAGCAGCCGCGGUAAUACGUAGGUGGCAAGCGUUGUCCGGAUUUACUGGGCGUAAAGGGAGCGUAGGCGGAUAUUUAAGUCAGAUGUGAAAUACCCGAGCUUAACUUGGGUGCUGCAUUUGAAACUGGAUAUCUGGAGUGCAGGAGAGGAAAGUGGAAUUCCUAGUGUAGCGGUGAAAUGCGUAGAGAUUAGGAAGAACACCAGUGGCGAAGGCGACUUUCUGGACUGUAACUGACGCUGAGGCUCGAAAGCGUGGGGAGCAAACAGGAUUAGAUACCCCGGUAGA
rnacentral:rRNA from 1 species